rfam:Prochlorococcus marinus MIT9313 complete genome
CGGGGCGUGGCGCAGCUUGGUAGCGCACUACUUUGGGGUAGUAGGGGUCGUGGGUUCAAAUCCCGCCGCUCCGA